UGCCAGAUUAACUUCUGGGUUAUCUUCCUC
rnacentral:piRNA from 1 species